rnacentral:miRNA from 1 species
AAGUGGAAUCACUGCAGGCAGAGAGACACAGAGAGAGGGAGAGAAAGGAGGCUAGAAAGAGAUCUGCCUGACUUUGAAGGCAAGAGGAUCCUUCCAGCUGCCCAACAAAUAAAAUUAGAAAUAAUUUUGAGUUUAUUUUCUUUGCUGCUUGCUCUCUCUCUCUCUCUCUCUCUCUCGCUUUCUCCCUCUCUCUCUCU